AUUGGUUCCAAAAAACUAAAACUGAAAUUUUAAAGCCCAAAGAAUUCUAGCCCAAUUCUCUUACAUAUAUACUUCGUAUAUAGUAAAACCCUAAUCCUCCCUCAUCUUUUCCAAUUUCCCUUUCAGCCUUUCUGAUCUGCGGCCACCACCUUUCUCACCAAAACCCUAAUCCUCCCUCAUCACCUCACUCACUCCGGCCACCACCUUCCCUCGCCACCACCUAAAACCCUAUUUUAUUUUCCUUUAUUCUCUUUCACUAUUUCAGCCUUUCUUUCUCACUUGCGGCAACCUUAGUUUUUCACUUUUUUUUUAAAUUUCUCAGAGUCGCUCACCCACCGUUUCCCUUACCACCGAUCUUGUCCAUUUCAUCACUCACCACCACCUUCCUCACAACCGUUACAUUCAGUCACAGUCCCUUACCACCGCAACAUCGCUCGUCAGUUGUUCCCUUCAUAGUUCAUACUUCCACUCACUACAACACUCAAAGGAAGUUGAGGAGCUUGGAGCUGCCAAGUUAAUUGAAGGCUUGAAGUUUCUAUGUUGGCUGUUGUUACAUUUUAAGUCCUUUCAUAUGUUUCUGACACCCACAUCAGUUUAUCCCUCACGCCCUCACGCUGCACGGCUGUACGCUCCCCUCAGGCGCCCACCAACGCGAAAACCGCCUUUGCACUCUUCAUUAGCCACCACGCAAACUCCACAGCCACCAGAUCACGCGAUUAUAUAGAUCACGACCACCAAAUUACGCGGAUCCAACGACCGCAACCACCAGAAUGCCUGGCUCCAGCGAUUGCAACCAUGAGAUCGCGUGAUUCCGGCGACCCAGCAGUCACUACAUCUGGGCUUACAAUUCUUAUGGAUGUUGUGUUGAGGUGGUUCCUGAUUUCUUGCUGCCUUCUAAUUAAGUUCUAACUGCCUUGUUCACCUCAGCAAGCAUUUUGGAGAAUUAAGGGUGUUGAUUGAUGAGGAAGUUCAUCAUGAAGCAAUUCGUUUUGUAAAAUCCGACUUCGCAGCUUAUGGUUAAUAAUUUAUGGGUUGUUUUUCUGUAUUAAAAAAAUAAAAGUGCUAAUAAAUGUACUCCCUCUCUCCCAGUUUACUUGCAACAUUUUGACUAGACACACUUGCCGAUAUACAUGUUUGACCGUCCAUACCUUUUAUUAUAUAUUUAUAAAAGCUAUAAAAUGUUUAUAUUUAGAAACAAUACAUUAAAAUAGAUCCAAUAACAUCUUACAUGAUUACAUUGACUUUCAUAUAAUAACUACAAAAGAUGGUCAAAGUGAGAUGUGUGAAUAGUGCAAAAAGUCAAAAUGUUGCGAGUAAUUUAGGACGGAGGGAGUAUUUUUUUUUUCAAAUUGAUUUUUUUAAAGAAAAAAAAAUUGGUCCAAUGAGGUCCAAAAUCGGACUGGACUUGUUUUUUUCAAGUCUGGUCCGGAACCGAACCUGUUGAUUCAAGUCCGGUCUCCGGUCCUUGAAAAAUAGAGAUUUAGGUCCCGGUCCCAACAGGUCCGGUCUGGUUUUGGACCGGUGUA